CGGCGGACGGGUGAGUAACACGUGGAUAACCUACCUAUAAGACUGGGAUAACUUCGGGAAACCGUAGCUAAUACCGGAUAAUAUAUUGAACCGCAUGGUUCAAUAGUGAAAGACGGUUUUGCUGUCACUUAUAGAUGGAUCCGCGCCGCAUUAGCUAGUUGGUAAGGUAACGGCUUACCAAGGCAACGAUGCGUAGCCGACCUGAGAGGGUGAUCGGCCACACUGGGACUGAGACACGGUCCAG
rnacentral:rRNA from 1 species